UACGAGGGGGGCGAGCGUUGUUCGGAAUUAUUGGGCGUAAAGGGUGCGUAGGCGGUUCCGCAAGUCCUGUGUGAAAUCUUCGGGCUCAACUCGAAGUCUGCACGGGAAACUGCGGGGCUUGAGUGUGGGAGAGGUGAGUGGAAUUCCCGGUGUAGCGGUGAAAUGCGUAGAUAUCGGGGAGGAACACCUGUGGCGAAGGCGGCUCUCUGGGACGGUACUGGACGCUGAGACGCGAAAGCGUGGGUAGCAAACAGG
rnacentral:rRNA from 1 species